GCCCCCCUAGCCGGGCUGAAAUUUCAGCCCGGGCUGAACUUCUUCAUGUAAUCAGGCCCUUAGCUACUACAUCUUUGCAUGCGGAUAUCUUAACAACCAAUCAGGAUAUCGACAUAUAUAGGCUGACACACGUUUGUUCAUUGAUGCCUGGCGUGAAUAAGAAUGUGCCACUGUUUGGCUCGUGCUGCAGCAUUCGAUAUCCGAUAAAUUCAAUAGAAAAACCCUUGGUCGUUCAAUGGUUUACCGGCUUCUGACACUUCUUGAAAGAAAAGGUCGCUUGAAUCAUACUACUAUCGUAAACAACAUUUAUUAAACUUUCUACUGAUGUAUAGUUUAUUGGAGUUUUUUUUUUUUUUUAAAUUAAUUUCCAGGUCUUUGUUUCCAACAGUAAUUAACUCAAACUUUUUAGUUGUGUAGACGUUGCGGUAAAAUAAAUAAAUUGUAGCCUCGGGGAUAUAACGCGUGUUUGGGGUAGCUGUUAUGGUUAUUUGGACGUGGUCGAGAAAAUUGAGGGGCAAAGCAGCCAUUUCACGUCAUAGCGUCGCAUCCGAAUGUGGUUGUGAGUGGAACCGAUAAAUUGUCCCUCUCAAAACCUUUGGGUUCUUUUUCCUCACAAAAGCUCAUAAUCAGUUUAGAAUUCCAGUUCCUGGCUCCUGAGGUUCAGGUUAAUAGUGUCUUGACUGAAGUCUUUUGGAAGGUAUAUUUAAAACGACAACAGAGUAGCGACAAUGGCAAAAUUGUAUUUCAUCGUGACACUUAUGAUCCGUCAAGGAUUUCUCCUGUCGUAUGCUUCUUUCAGUAUGAGUGAUGCCACCCCUCUUUGUAUUUGUCCUUGUGGUUCUACUUCAACGAAAUCACAAAGUACUUCGUCGCUAUAUCAUUCAACGAGUAGUACAAUCAGUACAUUCAGCACCUCUGACCAGAGUCCUCCAUCUUCCUACAUCUUAACGACCACUACAACCACUACAUCACAAAGUAGUCCGUUGAUACAUCAUUCAACGAGUAGUGCAAUCAUUACAUCCAGCACUUCUGACCAGAGUUCUCCAUUCUCCGACAGCUUAACGACCGCUGCAACCAAUACAAGUAGUGCCUCUGCCUCUUUGAGCUCCUCUGUAUGUUAUUGUCCCUGCAGCACCACAUCUUCGACAUCUUACAUGUCUUUUUCAGAGACUCCAGUGCAAUCUACUGCAGGUAAGUUGCUUCUUUACACAUUGCUCCUUGUCCCCUUAUCUACGUACGCAUUUCUGUAAUGAACAAUUAGAUUAUGAGCUCCAGAUUUCUAAAUAACCAAUAGAUUAUGAGCGCGAGAUUUGUAUUUCAUAGAAAUCUGGAGCGAAUAAUCUAAAUCCUCUUGACGACACUUCGAAAACGUGGAGAAGCGGACGCCAUUUUGUUAAUAGCCGCAUACAGCUGGGCUUCUCACUUAUACAAAAAGAUAGAUAGUUAACAGCUUAGCCAAUAAGAGAACGGCAUUGGUGAUAGAAUGCUCGUAGAUUUAUACUAGGAGGUGAUAUUUGAUGAGGCCAAAGACCGACUCUGAACUUUCAUUGCUUUAGUAGAAUUCUAAAUGAAAUUAGAAUUCGCAGUUCUGCAGGCGGUGAUCAGUUUUUUCGACAACUUCGAGUUUUUGAAGUCAAGAAACCGUGUUUGACCCGCCUUCUCUUAGUCUUUUGCGGAAUUUUGUUAUCCGUUUUUUCUAACUAAUCCUUCAAAUGUUCGGGGAAAAGAAGGGAUGUUAGUAAAACUGGUAACGAGGAACGGGGACGAGGAACCGGGAACGGGAGUCUUGGAACGAGUUUACAGCGGUAACCCGUCUAAGAAUUCAAUAUGGUGGACAAAGGAAAAGAAAAGGGAACAAUUUGGGGGAAUGUGAGGGAAGUGUUAUGGUUGUAAACGUGAGUUUCUACCGGCUGUGCCCCAGAGUCCAAUAUGGUACUGGGAUAAACAAAGCAUGAAAUAGCGUCUGGGGAGAAAAUCGAAUCGAUAUUAUCACAUGCUACCCCAAUCGGCCAGUACAAAAUGUAGACUGCAGACCGGGUACAAAAUGCAAACUAGGUACAAAAUGCAGACUGCAGACUGGGUAAAAAACACAGAUAGAGGCUAAAGACUGUUUUUCGCCUAAUACGUGACAACGUGUCAUCUAAAAACAUACUGAGUGUCACUCAGUCGCUUUUCCGCGGUCAUCUUUCACCAACAUUAGCAUUAUUGUGGAAUAUUCCUUGUUCGUUUCCUCAUACAUUUUGUCUUAAACAAAGCGGCCAGGCCACAGGUUAUUUAUCUGUUGCUCACCUGAUUUGCCAGCUAACUUGCCGAUGUCGGAAAGGCCGCCAUGCUACCGAAUGCGAAGACAGCGGACGACCCACGUUCAGAGAUGGUCACGUGUUAUGUUACUUAUCCUCGAUAUCAUAUUGCGUGUUGCUUUUUUUAAAAUAUUGAUAUGACAGCUCGCACACAGAGUGAGAAGAUAUGACUGGGUUCGUUUUCCAGAGUAUAAUAAACCAUUGCCGUGCACCUAGAGUAUCCUAUGUUACCAAAAACAUGCAACCCAACAAUCGAUCAAGUUUCGAGGAAAAUGUUGGAGGGAUCAUUAAAGCACGACAAGGCACAGCAUGGCAUGGCAUGGGAUGGCACGGCACGGGCAUAGCAUGUCAUGUAGGGUUUGGCCUAUCAUAACAUUACCUUUACCCUUACCUUAACAGAAAGGAGCAAAUAAUCUAUAAUGACUGACUAUU
rnacentral:misc_RNA from 1 species